ACUCGUUCGUUGUAAUUGUUAUCCGAGACAUUACCGUGGAUGCAAAGGGGAAGAAAUUCGAGCGAUCGACAGGUCCAAAGAACCGAUAGGACAGCGGACUCGUAGAAAUUUCGCAUCAUUGUAGCGGAAUUCGGCUUGAUCCGUUAAUCUGUCGAACGUAGCAGGCGCUGGACGGUUUACACGGUCGCGUUAAACCGGUAGGAAGUUCCUGACGGCGGCCGUGUAAAAGCGGCUCGUAAUUUGUAAGUGACACAAGGACCCGGACCUCGAGGACAUCCCACGUGCACAGAAGCCGAUAUGUGUCACUCUGGUCUGCCGUCGCUGGGAUUAAAUGGAGGCUUGUGUAAAUUAUCGCGAUCCUGCCAAUUGGAUAAGAGUGAUUGGCGCUCGUCUACGAUCCAUUGAAUCUAUUCGGUUCUCGAUUAUCGCGCGGCAGCUAAGCGAAUCGAAAGACGAGUUAGCUUCGUCGCAACGCUAGGGUAGUUUUAAUCCAGACAGUUUUGCUAGACUCGAAAAAAAAAACGAUCGAUGACUGGGAACGCUAGUAGUUUUUCGCUAAGGUACGGUGCCAACCCGAAAGUAAUUUCAGCUUCUAAAGUUUCUACGGUAAACAAGCUGUUUACGCGGACAAUGGAUCUAUCAAGGCCUUGGACGCGCGGUAUUUUUUUCCAACGCGUCGACGAGGGAAUUUGUAAGCAACGAGGAGCGAACCGUGUCGGUCUUCGCCCAAUGCGGGUCACGGCAAUGCAGCUAAAAUGAACUUGAGAAAACUACUAACGUAAGGUGCAAUUUUUCCACUCGAACUGCUACAACUAACAGAACACUGGACCUUAUGCGUUCCAUCGACGUAAUAAACGCAAGCUGACGAAGCACAACGUCGAGGAAUCAAUCAGGAUCGAAUAAAACUAAUUGCCCGAG